rnacentral:ribozyme from 12 species
GGAAGCUCCACGUGUUGGGUACCCCCCACACUGCCGGGGGGGGGUCCUUGGAGAAUUUGGGAGACUUCCGGAGCUUGCGCAGAAACGACGCGA